GGUGGCCGAGUAUUGAUGGCAAGCUGUAGCCUUGUUCACGGGGCCAGGCCCCCCCCAAG
rnacentral:tRNA from 1 species